CUGCUCAACGGUAGGAAACAGGUCCAUCUGCAAAACUCCACUACGGAUGCUAUCGAGACGUUCAUCGAGCCCAUCAAGGAAGGUGUAAACUCUGUCUUCCUGGGUCAAAUUAUUGAAGUGGCGGAUGUCAGCGGCACACUUCAUUGGAUUUGGGCGACGGAAGUCAAUUUCGCGCCACAACCCCUGCAGUUCAGUGUAAUAUUUCUCCACAGAUCCGCCUGCUUGUCUUAG
rnacentral:lncRNA from 1 species